CCUACGGGUGGCAGCAGUGGGGCAUCUUGCACAAUGGGGGAAACCCUGAUGCAGCGACGCCGCGUGAGUUCCUCCUUCUUUCUUUCUUUCCCUCUCUCUCCUCCUUUCCUCCCCUUCCUUUCCCUGCUUCCGCCGCCCCGGCUACCUCCGUGCCCGCCGCCGCGGUCCUCCGUAGGGGGCCCGCGUUCUCCUUGUUUACUGGUGGUAAAGGGAGCGUCGACGUCAGCACCCUUCUUUCUUGAAAUGCCGUGGCUUAACCCCUUAACUGCUUUGGAAACUGUGCAGCUAGAGUGCAGGAGAGGGAAGUGGAAUUCCUAGUGUAGCGGUGAAAUGCGUAGAUAUUAGGAGGAACACCAGGGGCGAAGGCGGCUUACUGGACUGUAACUGACGUGGAGGCGCGAAAGCGUGGGGAGCAAACAGGAUGAGAGACCCCGGUAGUC
rnacentral:rRNA from 1 species